AAAAACUGUUCCGUGCAAUUUUUUAUUUGGCAUUAAUUUUCUUUUUAAAGAUUUCUUUUUACAAUUUUCGUAAUACAAUAAUUGGGUUCCAGACCCCUUCAUUAAUCACUUGUUUUUUUUUUUUUUUCUGAGCUACCCCACUACCAGAUGUCAAAGAAUGAGAAUAUUAUCUUUCUCCCUCUCUGUUAUUGUUUUUCAAAUUCGGUGCCGGCUUUCGGAAAGAAAACAAAAACAUUGCAAAAUAAAAAUAUUUAUGAAAAAAUUGUUGUUGUAGUUCCGUUUUCGUGCACCAAGGUUCUAAAUAAAUGUUUUGAAAUAAUUAUUAAAAUUAUGUAAAUAUAUCGCAAUUUAAUUAAAUAACCGUGCAACGCUGUAACCCACGUGUACAAAAUCGAAAAAAAGAAAUUACAACGCAUUCAGAUCUUCUUGCCUUAAAUAAUGUCUGCCAUUCGGAAUUUUAUUGAAGUCUCACUUUGACAGUGGCCGUAAAAAUUAAAAAAAAUCAAAAUGGAAACGCUCUCCAAAAAACCGGAAUGUAAAUAAACAAUAAAAUUGUAAAUUUUUUAUUAUCGAAAUAUAAAAACAACAACAAUAUCGAGGCGUUUGGAUGCAUUCGCCAAGAUUCCAUCUUCGAAUCGAACAGAAAUCUUGAAAAGAGGGAAAGGGGAGCGAAAAAAGAGUCAGAAAUCUUGAAAAGAGGGAAAAGGAAGCGAAGAGUCUGAGGAUUUGAAACUCGGGAAAGAAGUUGGAAAAAAAUUGCAUUUAUCACCUUUUCUUAAUUACCUCAGCGACAUUAAGUAAGACUAGAUGCAGCUCAUCAUCAAUAGACAGUCAUAGAGUGUUUACAUGAAGACAAGUAAAUCGUACAGGCAGGCAGGCAGUCUGUCGGUUAGUCAGUCAUUCGAUGCAAUCAUAAAAAACUCACACUCGGUGUAAUGUAAUUGCGACUGAUAAACGCCUGCUAAUCACAUGAACAAAUAUUUUUGAGGUGUUAAUAGCUUCAAGGUAUCUCCAUUUUUUGUUUUAACUGCGGGAAUUGUAAUAGCACUUUCAAGCUGAAUGUAAAUACGUAUGUACAUAUAUAUGUAUGUAAAUAUGUUUAAUAAUUUUAAUAUCGCUUUGCACACAAUGUAUCAACAUUUUAUUGACAUCUUCCACGUUUGUCAUUGCUUUUGCAAGAUUUAUGGGAGAAUAAUUCCAGAUUAAAUAGAAUAUAAAGA